GAUUAGCACUGCUAUUCCGAUUCAGAGAUUAAGUUAAACGACAGGCUUUGCCUAUACAGGUUAAUGGCGGGUGAUGACGGGGCGGAGCUGAGGCUAGAGUUCAACUCCUUAUUUUGACUUCCGCUGUAGAACUAGCCCGUAUCUAUCUUUUGUUGAGCCUAAACUAUUGACUCUCAAGUAUUUCGAUUAAUGAAUGUUGGUUAUCUGAA